GGAAAUGGCCAAGUAGUUACGAUCAUGGCGUCGUCUUUUCGACCCGAAAUAAGGAAAAUACGAUAUAACAAACCAACAUCAGUGGAUCGAGAUUGAUCGUAAAUACACGAGGAAGGUGGGCAUUUUUCAUUAAAUGGAAAGUACAGGAGGGAUAUUGACACAUUGACAGGGUCAUGGGCACUCAUCGGGAGGACAAUUUUUGUCACAUUCAAAACCACUUUUAUUUGUGAGAAUAAAUCAUUAUUAUUUA